ACUGAUUUGGCAGAUAAGUGCUUUAAAUUUAGAAUUUAAAAAUGUAUAUUAUGUACAUUCAGUA
rnacentral:tRNA from 1 species